rnacentral:tRNA from 1 species
GGCAGUGUGGCUCAGUGGAAAGAGCCAUGGCUUGGGAUUCAGAGGUCAUAGGUUCGAAUCCCGGCUCUGCUA